rnacentral:rRNA from 1 species
AUACGGAGGGUGCAAGCGUUAUCCGGAAUCAUUGGGUUUAAAGGGUCCGUAGGCGGACUAAUAAGUCAGGGGUGAAAUCCCACAGCUUAACUGUGGAACUGCCUUUGAUACUGUUAGUCUUGAGUUAUAUGGAAGUAGAUAGAAUGUGUAGUGUAGCGGUGAAAUGCUUAGAGAUUACACAGAAUACCGAUUGCGAAGGCAGUCUACUACAUAUAUACUGACGCUAAUGGACGAAAGCGUGGGGAGCGAACAGAAUUAGAAACCCCAGUAGUCC